rnacentral:rRNA from 1 species
CCUACGGGGGGCAGCAGUGGGGGAUAUUGCACAAUGGGGGGAACCCUGAUGCAGCGACGCCGCGUGGGUGAAGAAGCGCCUCGGCGCGUAAAGCCCUGUCAGCAGGGAAGAAAAUGACGGUACCUGAAGAAGAAGCCCCGGCUCACUACGUGCCAGCAGCCGCGGUAAUACGUAGGGGGCAAGCGUUAUCCGGAUUUACUGGGUGUAACGGGGGCGCAGACGGCGAUGCAAGCCAGGAGGGAAAGCCCGGGGCCCAACCCCGGGACUGCUCUUGGAACUGCGUGGCUGGAGUGCAGGAGGGGCAGGCGGAAUUCCUGGUGUAGCGGUGAAAUGCGUAGAUAUCGGGAGGAACACCAGUGGCGAAGGCGGUUUACUGGACCACAACUGACGCUGAGACACGAAAGCGUGGGGAGCAAACAGGAUUAGAUACCCCGGUAGUC